rfam:Musca domestica strain aabys unplaced genomic scaffold Scaffold18897, whole genome shotgun sequence.
UUUGCAUGAUGACUAAAUUGUCUAGUUCUGCUACUGAGUUUUGUGAGGAAACCCAAAUACCAAACCCACUGAAGC